GCAGGAGACUCAUAAAGGAGCAGGCAGCAGUGCUCUAGUAAUCCAGCAGGGUUGGUUUGGGUUGCUGCUGCACUGGGAGCACUUAAGAAUGAAGUACAGAAGUGACCACAGCUGAAAGGCCAUUUAUUUGCAGCUGUUUCUUCUCAGUUGCAGGCAAGAAAAGGAUUUAUGUAAUAGUGGGCUGAAAGUGAGGAAUUCAAGAGUAGGGGUUGGAAUGGGAAACUGCUACUUCUGUCUUGUAUGCUUCAAGAUUUGUGCUGAAAAAUCUUGCCUCUGCCAGGGCACUCCCCCUGCUAAAUAUGAGGCUUCAUAAGUGCUUCUAGUGUGCCUGAUCACCAAGAGAUCACUGCAGAGCAUAUGUGUGUGUGGGAGUACCCUGAAUUUCCUGUAUAGGCUGGAUGCUGCUGGACUACAGCCUCUGUUCCAGGGAGUCCCACAGACAGUGACUUUGGGGACUGCAAAGUAGGGUGACUGUAUCUCACUGAGAGCCACAUCUCUACCCUGAAAAUAAAACUGACCAGUAGAUUUCACAAUGAGUGGCC